UAUGUGGUUGCAAUUUAGUGUGUGUGUGUGUGUGGGGUGUGUGUUGGUAUAUUUGUGUGCGUGUUAGAUUUUUGCAUAAUGUGAAAGUGUGAUGCAAGUUUUGUUGGUGUGCGAGUUUGGUUCAGAAAUCCCCUUCGAAGUUAAGAUUGUUUCUCUUGGAUGCCUGUUGAAUUACAAUUUUGUAAAUAUGUAGAUGUGUAUAAAAAGAAGGCUUUCAAAAUAAACUCUAAACAUC